CCUCCUCUUCCUGGUGAAGAUUGAGCAUGUGGCUCCAAUCUCCAUAAUGUACGGAAACAGAGGAAAAGGGCUCUGGUCCUUUUCAUGUCAUAUCUUUGGUGCUGGUGGCUUUCAGGCCGUGGGUUCUAUCCUCAAGUGAUCAGACAG
rfam:Pteropus alecto contig68086, whole genome shotgun sequence.